GAUCUUAAUCUUCAUCUUACUUCUGUCUUGUAGUUGGAAAAGACCAGCAAGGUGGAGGAUAUGGAAAAUGCUCCAGUAGGAUAUAAAGACCAGAGAAGAAGCCAACAGACGGGAGACGAUGAAGAAAUAACAGCGCAGGGAUCAGGAGGUUUCCCCUCUCAACAUCUGCACACCACUGACAAAACAAAGGGAAGAGCAAGUAACGAUGGGCAAGUCGGAGCCCUCCUCCCCAAUCAGCAACAGAUGAACAAACCACAGAAAGGUGGCAUCAUUUUGGAAGAGGUCAACGGAAAUUACAACUAUAUCUGCCUGAGAAACACUUCCAGUGAGGAUAAAUUGAUGACAGGUUGGGAGCUAAAACUGAUCAAAGACAGAGAACUCUUCACAUACAAAUUUCAAGAAAACAUUACUCUGAAAGCUGGAAAAGGACUCACUUUAAAGCGAUUCACUAAAGGCAGAAGCCUGUAUCCUGACAACACUCACUUGAUGUGGAAGGACAUACCCAGCUGGAAUAGUGGAGACAAGAUGAAGAUCAUCCUCAUCAGCAACACUAAAGAAGAGCAGCAACUAAUGUGAUGCUUUUUACAAACAAGAUUACGUCAUGCAAAUUCACUAGAAUGAUUUUUGUUUUUGUUGAAGAAAAGAUCAUAAUGUUGUUAUAUUUUAUAUUUUUCACAUAAUUUGAAAUCAGUUUAACAUUUUUGCCAUUUAAUUAAAAACGUAUUAAAAAAGUAAAAUCUUCAAAAAGUUUGCUCUAUUCUUUGAGGUGCAACACAAAAGUAGUUCAACUCCAAUGACCUGGAUGAAGAUCACAUUUUUUUUUUUAAAGCUGAAGCUACAUGA